rnacentral:rRNA from 1 species
UACAGAGGUCUCAAGCGUUGUUCGGAUUCAUUGGGCGUAAAGGGUGCGUAGGCGGCGCGGUAAGUCGGGUGUGAAAUCUCGGAGCUUAACUCCGAAACUGCAUUCGAUACUGCCGUGCUUGAGGACCGGAGAGGAGACUGGAAUUUACGGUGUAGCGGUGAAAUGCGUAGAUAUCGUAAGGAAGACCAGUGGCGAAGGCGGGUCUCUGGACAGUUCCUGACGCUGAGGCACGAAGGUCAGGGGGAGCAAACGGG